AAAGUGGCUUUCUUCAAAGCCACAAAAACAAGACCUCAAAAACAAU
rfam:Equus caballus chromosome 28, whole genome shotgun sequence.